UUUGACAUGGAGUAAACGCAUGAGCACAUAGUGCUCUUGAUUUUCAUGACUUAAAUUAUUGGUAUUUAAAAGGAUUUUAAGCUUUAGUUUGCUUUUCUUUCAGUCUACAAAUCUUAGUAUUACGACCCUGUUUCUGAAUUUCUGACUAAAAUUACACCGCUACCUCAAACCAUCAUCACUUCUUCAUUUGCACCAUCAUGUGUUAGAACAUCAGGUCUCUGCAAAAUGAAAAAGAGGAUGCCGUUUCGGAAAUAUGCAAUGAUAUUAUCAAAGUGUAACGCUGUGACUACAUGUGCGUGGAUUCUGCUUUCUUUGUUUCCUGCUGGACACGGAUUAUUUAACAGCACCUCAGUUCAGACUGUUCAUCGAGGAAUGUCAGUCAAUAUCAGCUGUAACUAUAAACCAUCAAAUGACACAGAAAGUUUCAUAGUGGAACUGCAAACUAACAAUAAACUGUGCUCAGCAAGGAAAAUGAACACUUCAUGGAAAGAACAUCUAUGCUGCAAUCACUGUAGAUUCAUCUGGAGUCUAGAAACUGUGCAAAUGGCAUUUGAGGUUUCAAACUUGCAGAUAAAUGAUACUGGCACAUACAAAUGCAUUGUGACAAGAUCCAUACCACCUCCUUCUGUGACUUAAGAGAAGAAAGAACAUUUGUCCAAGUGAUCGCACAACCCACUGUGUCUGUGACACAUGUAAGAGCAAUGAGUGGAUUUCCCAUGAUGCUUUGUAUCUCUGAGGGGUUUUACCCUUCUGGUCUAGACCAGAUGUGGAUUAGAAACGGAGAAUUUCUGAACGGCUCUCUCACACACAGCAUUAACAAAACCAACCCAGACAGCUCAUUCACCGUCCAUUCAUACUUGAAUACAUCUGACUGUGUGAACUACUCGUGUUGGGUAAACCACUCAUCCCUGACCCAACCAACAAUACACCACAUGAGUCCUAAUGAAUGUUACAGGAACAAAGCCCUCUUUAUAGAUGAGAAUGUAUGGAUAAUUGCGGUGACCUCAGCGAUGAUGAUUCUCACCAUACUGAUUCUCACAGUUGUGUGCGAGCGUUCCAGAAGAGCACACCACAAGUCUCCUGUAAGAAUGAAUGCUGCACCUGCUUCUGAUCUCCAUUCUCAGGUGGAGUAUGAAGUAUAUUCAAUGUUGGGUCACCAUCGUCCAGUCCCAUGCAGCCCAGUCAGUGUUCGCUCAUCUCCAAAUGAAGACAUUUUACUUUGAUAGAUUUCUUGACCCACUUAUAUCUUGUUCACCAACCUGAUAACAACUUGUGUAUGUAAUAUGGAGUUAUAUAAUUUAUACAUGAUUAUUUAAUCAUGCAUAAACUUGGCUGUAUAUAUGUUGACAAAAUAUAUGACACAUACGAAUUAUUAUUAAGUCUAUGUUAUUUGCCAGAUUCAGCUCUAAAAAUCCAGUGAAGUGGCUUCCUGAGUUUAUUUUCUUUCCUGUGCUGGCUUAUGAAAAAAAAUAUACUCUAUUCAUGUCACAUGUUGUUUGCAUGUUUUCCCUUCCAUUAACCUUGCAUGUAGACACUGUGUGGUUAAAAUAACCACUCAACAGUUUUCUGAAUACUUAGGGAAUAAAAUGUACAUGAAAUGACUUGACCACGAUAAGCUGUAAAACACUGUAACAUGAAAUAUAUGAUUGGACGAUUAUGAAGGAGAACAAAUGUAGUGCAGGUAAAUAUAUGUUUUUUGCAUAUAGUUCUGAGAUUAAGGUUUGAAGCAGUGCUAGAAGGUCUUCUGUCCAAGGGCAUUCAACUUGAGGAAUCUCAGUUAUAUUGAAUGGCUGAUAUAUUUUAACUCAACUACAUUUACAAGAGAUACAAAUAGAGAAAGAUAAAACAAGCAUGAGUGAUAAAAUACCUGUAUAAAGUUUACUAAAUAACCUUUGUUGCAUCCUCUUUAUGAUAAGUCUUCAAGUACAUGAAGUUUGGUUUUAUGAAGAAAUUAGAUUAUAAAGAAAGAUCAAGUAUAUAAAAGAGAUAAAGACUAAUGUGAAUUAAGACGUUAGCAAUUGUCAUCCAGAUGACGUGCCAGUGUUUAAGUACACAUAUUACAUGAAUGUAAGUAAUAUAAAUAAACAAAUAAUGUUACUAAAUAUAUGUUACCUAUAUCAUUUGUACAGUACUGUUGAUAAAUUGAAGUGCAUCGGUCUUAGAUAAAAAGCAACUGUGUUGUGUUUAAUGUUAAGAAAAAUGUUUUGUGAAUUAUUGAGUUGUUUAAGUGGCAAGUUAUUCAGGAAGAUUGUAAGAACUGUAUGACAAUCUGUUAUGUACAGUAUGUGUUAAACAGUGUUGAGCAUUAUUAUGCCACCUACUGUCUGAGUUUUACUUUUG